rnacentral:rRNA from 1 species
AGUGAACGCUGGCGGUAGGCCUAACACAUGCAAGUCGAACGGCAGCACAGUAAGAGCUUGCUCUUACGGGUGGCGAGUGGCGGACGGGUGAGGUAUACAUCGGAAUCUACUUUUUCGUGGGUGAUAACGUAGGGAAACUUACGCUAAUACCGCAUACGACCUACGGGUGAAAGCAGUGGAUCUUCGGACCUUGCGCGAUUGAAUGAGCCGAUGUCGGAUUAGCUAGUUGGCGGGGUAAAGGCCCACCAAGGCGACGAUCCGUAGCUGGUCUGAGAGGAUGAUCAGCCACACUGGAACUGAGACACGGUACAGAGUCCUACGGGAGGCAGCAGUGGGGAAUAUUGGACAAUGGGCGCAAGCAUGAUCCAGCCAUACCGCGUGGGUGAAGAAGGAAUUCGGGUUGUAAAGCCCUUUUGUUGGGAAAGAAAAGCAGCAGGUUAAUAACCCGCUGUUAUGACGGUACCAAAAGAAUAAGCACCGGCUAACUUCGUG